GAUGAACGCUGGCGGCGUGCCUAAUACAUGCAAGUCGAGCGAAUGGAUUAAGAGCUUGCUCUUAUGAAGUUAGCGGCGGACGGGUGAGUAACACGUGGGUAACCUGCCCAUAAGACUGGGAUAACUCCGGGAAACCGGGGCUAAUACCGGAUAACAUUUUGAACCGCAUGGUUCGAAAUUGAAAGGCGGCUUCGGCUGUCACUUAUGGAUGGACCCGCGUCGCAUUAGCUAGUUGGUGAGGUAACGGCUCACCAAGGCAACGAUGCGUAGCCGACCUGGGAGGGUGAUCGGCCACACUGGGACUGAGACACGGCCCAGACUCCUACGGGAGGAAGCAGUGAGGAAUCUUCCACCAUGGGCGAAAGCCUGACGGAGCAACGCCGCGUGAGUGAUGAAGGCUUUCGGGUCGUAAAACUCUGUUGUUAGGGAAGAACAAGUGCUAGUUGAAUAAGCUGGCACCUUGACGGUACCUAACCAGAAAGCCACGGCUAACUACGUGCCAGCCGCCGCAGUAA
rnacentral:rRNA from 1 species